CACGUAGGGCGCAAGCGUUGUCCGGAAUUAUUGGGCGUUAAGAGCUCGUAGGCGGUCUGUUGCGUCCGCUGUGAAAACUCGGGGCUUAACCCCGAGCCUGCAGUGGAUACGGGCAGACUAGAGGUAGGUAGGGGAGAAUGGAAUUCCCGGUGUAGCGGUGAAAUGCGCAGAUAUCGGGAGGAACACCGGUGGCGAAGGCGGCUCUCUGGGACGGUACUGACGCUGAGACGCGAAAGCGUGGGGAGCGAACAGG
rnacentral:rRNA from 1 species